UACGUAGGUGGCAAGCGUUGUCCGGAUUUACUGGGCGUAAAGAGCGCGCAGGCGGUCGUUCAAGUCGCGUGUGAAAGCCCCCGGCUCAACUGGGGAGGGUCACGCGAUACUGAUCGACUCGAAGGCAGGAGAGGGUAGUGGAAUUCCCGGUGUAGUGGUGAAAUGCGUAGAUAUCUGGAGGAACACCGGUGGCGAAGGCGGCAUCCUGGACCGGCACUGACGCUGAUGAGCGAAAGCCAGGGGAGCAAACGGG
rnacentral:rRNA from 1 species